GGGGAGUGGGACACUGCAUUCCUUUCAAAACAAGGCCGUGGCAAUAAGUUUUCAGGAGACAUGAAUCAGCCACGUAGGCAGUUAUAAAUAAUGGGGCGCAGCCGGGCUGGGUGACAUACCACUGCACUGCGUAUAUUGCAAGAACAUAUCAAUACUGUGCACUUUCUGCAUUUAAUCUUCCAGCAGACUUGGCAUCCACACACCCUCUGAGGCCGGUGGGAGUCUGGUCUGUGGGAGAACCAACUUGCUCUUGCUCUCCGCAUGGGAUUUUUAUGCUAUUUCAUGAGCUGGGACUGUACGGCUGGAGAACAGUGCUGUCACUUAUACCAAACUAUUGGCAAGAGAGUGCUUCACACAUAUUAAAGCCAAGCUGUCUACAUGAGGGUACAGCAGUAAGCAUAGGGAUGAGUGGAGAGAUGCAUGCGCUCUCAGCACAUGAGAUGAGCCCUCCAGAGGAAUGCUCUCUUGCAUCCAGGACCCUGUGGCUGUGCCUGUGUUGCUGUUUGAAUGCUGGGAUUAAAGUUAAGCUUCUCUUGUAAUCGCAGUCCCAUUCAGAUUUUGGGAAAUGCAAGUACACAGCACCAGGAUGUGGCCACACCCCUCUUUAUUAGCCAGCCUGGCACCUCAUUGCCAGUGUCCACAAUGAAUUGGAGAUUACAGAGAGUCCCAUACCAGUGCAUCACAGCACUGACAUCUCAUCCCAGCUUGCAAGGCUCAACGGGCUCCGUGAGCAGCGUCUGCUGGGGGACAACCAGGGUGGUUGUAAGAAGCAAGGAAAUGGGAGACUCCAGCAUUAGUGUUGACCACAUGCAUGGGAGGUGCAACAGAAGCUAUGGAAGUUUCAAAGGACCCAAUGUCUGCUUUGAUGAAAGUUACAGGAAAGCUCUCAGCAGCAGCUUAAACACACACUGCCAACUCACACCAGAGAAGGAACCACUCGCACACUUUCCAGAGGAUGUUUUGCAUCCUGUUAUUCCAGCACCAUGCAACAUUUCUGCUGUCAUGUAGGCUGGAAUGCUGUUUUUUAUGGGGAAACUUACUUGGUGAUGGUUUAUUUUCCCUUUCUGAUGUGUACAUUGCGCGGGGCUAGAAUGUGAUAUCCAAUAAAAGCCUAAUCCAAAGUCCCUUGUAAUCA
rnacentral:lncRNA from 1 species